rnacentral:lncRNA from 1 species
CAUUGUGGAAACUUUGUUCUUUAGGUCUUUGCAAUAAAUCUUGCUGCUGCUCACUCUUUGGGGCUGCACUACCGUUAUAAGCUGUAACACUCCCUGCAAAGGUCUGCAGCUUCACUCCUGAGGCCAGCAAGACCAUGAACCCACAGGGAGGAAUAAACAACUCUGCAAGGGAGGAACGAACAACUCCAGCUGCACCGCCUUAAGAAUUGUAACACUCACCGCGAGGGUCUGCAGCUGCUUUCUUGAAGUCGGUGUAUGUAGAAAAGGAAGGACAAUAUCUCAGGAAGGUCAGAGGCUGUAAAACUUGAAGAAAGGAGCCAAGAUCGCCAGAAAUACAGUGGUGGUAUUAUAGCAAACAUGAGAUCCUAAGUCCUUUUUCAAAGCGUGCCUGCUCCCUGCAAGAGGAGGAACAGUGGCCAACCCACUCAAUCAGCUGUUGCCAUGUGGGACCUGUGAAACCUAGCUACCAUGCAAAAAGUCUGACUGACUCGAGAUUACCAUAUUGUGAGGAAGUCCAAGCUAACCACAGGGAGGGGAACUGAGAAACCUAAACAACAGUGAAAACUGAAGUCCGAGAUAGAUGGCCCAAGCUGAGCCAUCAUGGGUGACACUACCAGGGGCCAAGACAGGUUCUCUCUAACAAGCCUGUCCAAGUCACAAAGCGAGGCCACCUUGGUAGGAGAAAGUAAGAAGAUAUGACCAGUUAUCUCCUCCAUCAGACAAAGGCACUAUUGAUUGUUCAGGAAAUUAAGUGGCCCCCUUUGCACCACAGUGCAAAAAAUGUACUCUUCUUUGGUGAAUCUUUAUUAUGUUGAUUGUUAAAGUGAUAUCUGUACAUAUUAAAUGUGUUAUGGCCUUAAGUGUUACAAUCCUUGCUCUGUGUAUAUUUACAUUUAUAUGUGUAUCAAUAUUCUCAAGCAGGAACACAGCACUGCCCUUCCAGCUCCCUCCCCCAGCUAGAGGACAUCUGGCAAUUUGACAUUUUGGUUGUCACAAUCUAGGGGACAGGGCUACUACUAGCAUCUACAGGGUAGAGCCAGUGGUACUGCUAAAUAUCUUAUAAUCCAUAGUACUGCUCCUGCAAUGAAGAAUUAUCUGGCUUAUGAUGUCAAUAAAAAUAAUAAUUUUCAUCAGAAAAGAGUUGUAUCAUUUUCAAAACACUUUCACAUGCAUUAUUUUAUUGAUGCUCAUAAAGUCAUUGUGAGGUAAUAAGCUUUCUAAUUUAUGGAUGAGGAAAUUGAGGUUUAAAAGGGAAAAGUGACUUUACCAAUGUCAUAUUACUAGAAAAGUGAAGGUGUUAGAGCACGAAAAUUAAUCUUCAGCCCUCUCUUACUUUCCAUACUUUUUCCUGGCAAUGUCCUGUGGGCAAAGAUAAAUGUGCCAGUCUCCUUCACUUCAAGCCCAGCAUGGUACUUUCCACUUGCUAGAGCUUCAAAAAUGUGUUUGUUGAUUGACUAAUUAUAAAUGACAUCAAGGACAGUCAACUGUAUUAUUCCCCCCUAGUUUUUAAAUAAGAAAUGUCAA